AUGCCCUUCUUAAGCAUGGUGCAGACCAUAAAGGGGCAGAUAAUGGCGAGAGUUUAUUCCAAGAAGGAAGAAGCAGGGAAGUGGCAUGGCACCGUAUGUCCAAAAAUUAGGAAAAGACCUCAAAGGCAUGUGGAAGCUGCUAAUACAUGCACGGCUGACCCAGCAGGACUUGGGAUAUUCCAAGUUAAUGACAGAGGUGCAGAUUUUGAAGUGGACAUCAGGUUGAGGACUUGUAGCUGCAAGAGAUGGGAUUUGACUGGAAUACCAUGUUGUCAUGGAGUGGCUGCUUGUAGGCAUGACCAAAUACCUCCAGAAGAAAUGGUGCAGUCAUGCUACUCCAUUCAAACAUAUUUAAAAGCAUAUGAGCAUAUUAUCAUGCCAUGCAAAGAUGUGGCUGAGUGGCAGAGAAUGUAUGGAAGAGAAAUACUUCCUCCACCAAUUCUGAAAAAGAAAGGAAGGAGAAAUAAAAAUAGGAGACAACAACCAGAAGAGAAAGAGGGAAGGGCAGGGCGAAAAAUGGGUAGAGGAGGGGCUGUUAUCCAUUGCAGCUAUUGUGGUGCUGCGGGCCACAAUAUCGGAGGAUGCACUGAUUUUAAGCUUGGUUUGAAACCAAAGAAAAAGGGCAAGGUAGUUAGAGCUGAGCCACCGGUUUCCUCUGAUUCAGAAAAUGAGGAUCCAGUCCUAACUCAGGUAAUGUAUAUAAUAGUAUGUGCCAUUUCUCAUUAG
rnacentral:rRNA from 1 species